rnacentral:rRNA from 1 species
UGUACCAUACGAAUAAGGAUCGGCUAACUCCGUGCCAGCAGCCGCGGUAAUACGGAGGAUCCGAGCGUUAUCCGGAUUUAUUGGGUUUAAAGGGAGCGUAGGCGGACUAUUAAGUCAGCUGUGAAAGUUUGCGGCCCAACCGUAAAAUUGCAGUUGAUACUGGUCGUCUUGAGUGCAGUAGAGGUAGGCGGAAUUCGUGGUGUAGCGGUGAAAUGCUUAGAUAUCACGAAGAACUCCGAUUGCGAAGGCAGCUUACUGGACUGUAACUGACGCUGAUGCUCGAAAGUGUGGGUAUCAAACAGGAUUAGAUACCCUGGUAGUCCACACAGUAAACGAUGAAUACUCGCUGUUUGCGAUAUACAGCAAGCGGCCAAGCGAAAGCAUUAAGUAUUCCACCUGGGGA